CAAGGCUUGACAUAUACGAGAACGCUGCAGAAAUGUAGAACUCUUUGGACACUCGUAAACAGGUGGUGCAUGGUUGUCGUCAGCUCGUGUCGUGAGAUGUUGGGUUAAGUCCCGCAACGAGCGCAACCCUCGUUCUAUGUUGCCAGCACGUAAUGGUGGGAACUCAUGGGAUACUGCCGGGGUCAACUCGGAGGAAGGUGGGGAUGACGUCAAAUCAUCAUGCCCCUUAUGUCUUGGGCUUCACGCAUGCUACAAUGGCCGGUACAAAGGGCUGCAAUACCGCGAGGUGGAGCGAAUCCCAAAAAGCCGGUCCCAGUUCGGAUUGAGGUCUGCAACUCGACCUCAUGAAGUCGGAGUCGCUAGUAAUCGCAGAUCAGCAACGCUGCGGUGAAUACGUUCCC
rnacentral:rRNA from 1 species